rnacentral:rRNA from 1 species
UACAGAGGUGGCAAGCGUUGUUCGGAAUUACUGGGCGUAAAGGGCGUGCAGGCGGUCUGUUAAGUCUAGGGUGAAAGCUCCCGGCUCAACUGGGAGAGGUCCUUGGAUACUGGCGGACUUGAGGGAGGCAGAGGAAAGUGGAAUUCCCGGUGUAGUGGUGAUAUGCGUAGAUAUCGGGAGGAACACCAGUGGCGAAGGCGGCUUUCUGGGCCUUACCUGACGCUGAGACGCGAAAGCGUGGGGAGCGAACCGG